rnacentral:rRNA from 1 species
AUUGAACGCUGGCGGCAUGCCUUACACAUGCAAGUCGAACGGUAACGCGGGGCAACCUGGCGACGAGUGGCGAACGGGUGAGUAACGCAUCGGAACGUGCCCAGUAGUGGGGGAUAGCCCGGCGAAAGCCGGAUUAAUACCGCAUACGACCUACGGGUGAAAGAGGGGGAUCGCAAGACCUCUCGCUAUUGGAGCGGCCGAUGUCAGAUUAGGUAGUUGGUGGGGUAAAGGCCUACCAAGCCUACGAUCUGUAGCUGGUCUGAGAGGACGACCAGCCAGACGGGGACUGAGACACAGACCAGACUCUUACGGGGGUCAGCGGUGGGGAAUUUUGGACAAUGGGCGCAAGCCUGAUCCACCCAUGCGGGGUGCGGGAAAAAGGCCUUCGGGUUGUAAACCGCUUUUGUCAGGGAAGAAACGCUCUGGACUAAUACUCUGGGGUAAUGACGGUACCUGAAGAAUAAGCACCGGCUAACUACGUGCCAGCCGCCGCCGUAA